GUUUCCGUGUUGUAGCGGUUAUCACGUGUGAUUCCAACGCACAAGUUCCUCGGUUCGAUCCCUGGCGGGAACA